rnacentral:rRNA from 1 species
AUUGAACGCUGGCGGCAUGCUUUACACAUGCAAGUCGAACGGCAGCACGGGCUUCGGCCUGGUGGCGAGUGGCGAACGGGUGAGUAAUAUAUCGGAACGUACCCAAGAGUGGGGGAUAACGUAGCGAAAGUUACGCUAAUACCGCAUACGAUCUAUGGAUGAAAGUGGGGGAUCGCAAGACCUCAUGCUCCUGGAGCGGCCGAUAUCUGAUUAGCUAGUUGGUGAGGUAAAGGCUCACCAAGGCGACGAUCAGUAGCUGGUCUGAGAGGACGACCAGCCACACUGGAACUGAGACACGGUCCAGACUCCUACGGGAGGCAGCAGUGGGGAAUUUUGGACAAUGGGCGCAAGCCUGAUCCAGCAAUGCCGCGUGAGUGAAGAAGGCCUUCGGGUUGUAAAGCUCUUUUGUCAGGGAAGAAACGGUGGGAGCUAAUAUCUCCCACUAAUGACGGUACCUGAAGAAUAAGCACCGGCUAACUACGUGCCAGCAGCCGCGGUAAUACGUAGGGUGCAAGCGUUAAUCGGAAUUACUGGGCGUAAAGCGUGCGCAGGCGGUUUUGUAAGUCUGACGUGAAAGCCCCGGGCUCAACCUGGGAAUUGCGUUGGAGACUGCAAGGCUUGAAUCUGGCAGGGGGGGGUAGAAUUCCACGUGUAACAGUGAAAUGCGUAGAGAUGUGGAGGAACACCGAUGGCGAAGGCAGCCCCCUGGGGUCAGAUUGACGCUAUGCCGAAAAGCGUGGGGAGCAAACAAAGAUUAAAUACCCUUGUAGUCCACGGGGAAAUCCACACUGGAUAUCAAGCGUAUCGAUCCGUCCACGUGGGAGGUGUUGGCCAGAUCCA